rnacentral:rRNA from 1 species
GACGAACGCUGGCGGCGUGCUUAACACAUGCAAGUCGAACGGAAAGGCCCUGCUUGCAGGGUACUCGAGUGGCGAACGGGUGAGUAACACGUGGGUGAUCUGCCCUGCACUUCGGGAUAAGCCUGGGAAACUGGGUCUAAUACCGGAUAGGAGCCAUUUUUAGUGUGAUGGUUGGAAAGUUUUUUCGGUGUAGGAUGAGCUCGCGGCCUAUCAGCUUGUUGGUGGGGUAAUGGCCUACCAAGGCGGCGACGGGUAGCCGGCCUGAGAGGGUGGACGGCCACAUUGGGACUGAGAUACGGCCCAGACUCCUACGGGAGGCAGCAGUGGGGAAUAUUGCACAAUGGGCGCAAGCCUGAUGCAGCAACGCCGCGUGCGGGAUGACGGCCUUCGGGUUGUAAACCGCUUUCGCCUGUGACGAAGCGUGAGUGACGGUAAUGGGUAAAGAAGCACCGGCUAACUACGUG